rnacentral:rRNA from 1 species
UUCGGUUCUCCUACGACUUCUCUGUGACUCCUACGGGAGGCAGCAUGGGGAAUAUUGCACAAUGGGGAAACCCUGAUGCAGCCAUGCCGCGUGUGUGAAGAAGGCCUUCGGGUUGUAAAGCACUUUCAGUAGGGAGGAAGGUAGUGUAGUUAACACCUGCAUUAUUUGACGUUACCUACAGAAGAAGCACCGGCUAACUCCGUGCCAGCAGCCGCGGUAAUACGGAGGGUGCGAGCGUUAAUCGGAAUUACUGGGCGUAAAAGCGCAUGCAGGCGGCCUGUUAAGUCAGAUGUGAAAAGCCCGGGCUUAAACCUCGGAAAUUGCAUUUAGAAAAACUGGCAGGCUAGAGUCUUGUAGGAGGGGUAGAAUUUCAGGUGUAGCGGUAGAAAAUGCGUAGAGAUCUGAAGGAAUACCAGUGGCGAAGGCCGGCCCCUGGAACAAAGACUGACGCUCAGAUGACGAAAGCGUGGGGAGCAAACAGGAUUAGAUACCCUGUAG